GGGGGCGCACCGGUUUCGACGGGGCCCUGAGGACACAGAUUGCGAGUAGAGGAUUCUCGUUGGCCUCUAUAAAAACGAGAAAAUUAAAUUUAAACGCUAACAAUAACUUAGCUCUUCAGGCUGCCUAAUCGCGGCCUGCGUCGACCCGUAAGUCAGCCGGGCUUGCGGCAAUCGGUGUCAUCGAGCCGGCCCCGCGAACGAGACAGGUUAGCGUUCGGUACAGAUUAUCUUAAGCUUUGCGGAUAAUUGGUCUUUAUGAAGCUACUAUAGGCAGAUCCCCGUUUGCCGGGUGCAGCUUAUGGGAAUUUUAAUAGGCAGACUACACUCGUAGAGAUUUGUGGAUGAUUGGUUUCGGACAGGGGUUCGACUCCCCUCGCCUCCAGUU
rnacentral:tmRNA from 1 species